rnacentral:rRNA from 1 species
UGCCAGCAGCCGCGGUAAUACGAAGGUGGCGAGCGUUGUUCGGAUUCACUGGGCAUAAAGGGCGCGUAGGCGGUCUCGAAAGCGGCGUGUGAAAUCCCGGAGCUCAACUCCGGAACUGCAUGCCGAACUUCAAGACUAGAGGACGGGAGGGGAGUGUGGAACUCUAGGUGGAGCGGUGAAAUGCGUAGAUAUCUAGAGGAACGCCGGUGGCGAAAGCGACACUCUGGCCCGACCCUGACGCUGAGGCGCGAAAGCGUGGGUAGCAAACAGGAUUAGAUA